rnacentral:rRNA from 1 species
GUAUCCUACGGGGCGCAGCAGUAGGGAAUCUUCCACAAUGGGGGGAACCCUGAUGCAGCGACGCCGCGUGAGUGAAGAAGUAUUUCGGUAUGUAAAGCUCUAUCAGCAGGGAAGAAGAUGACGGUACCUGACUAAGAAGCCCCGGCUAACUACGUGCCAGCAGCCGCGGUAAUACGUAGGGGGCAAGCGUUAUCCGGAUUUACUGGGUGUAAAGGGAGCGUAGACGGCAGGGCAAGUCUGGAGUGAAAGCCCGG